UUUAUUCUACUGCAAUAGCUGUCAGACUGGUAAACUGAAUCUUGUUGAGUGUUGUGAUUUCACAUCUUUGAAUCCGGAGUUUAAAUGUGGGAAUUGUUAUAUAUUUAAUAUCCCAUCUGACAGAAACAUGUCAUAUACAAAAGAAGUCAUGAGUAAAAUGGAAAAUCUUCGUGAUAUGAACAAAAAAUGCCAAGUACAUGAAGAUGAAACGAUGUCACCUACUGCAGCUGUUUACUGUCUUGUAUGUAAAGCAGCCAUGUGUAAAUCUUGCUUUAAAAUUCACAUAUACUGAAAAAAUUAAACUUAAUUUCAACCGAUGCGGAGAAAGGAAAAAAAAUCGUACCAAAUUUAUAGCAUUUUUAAAAGAUUCCUCAAAAUUAUUUUGUACAGGUUAAUGUAGACAGUAUAAUAAUGAACCUUAUUUUGUUGCCAAAUGAGGGACUAAACGAGCUAUACAUACUUAUCUGAACUUUGUCAAUUAUAUACUUCAAAUUGAAGAAAUGUUAUAACUUUAAUUUUGUUUCAUUACAUUUUUCAUUCCAUUAUACAACCCCUAGAAAUGCAAUAUACAACAAUGUAAUAUAUGCUAAAAUAAUUCUACUUUGAACACAAUUCAGCUUUAAACAAACGUAUGUUUAAGUUGAUACGAUUUUAAGAAAAUAUUAUGUUUUGACAAUAUGUAUGAGCAUAUGGUAUAUUAAACCAAAAUAUCAAUUGUUCUUUAAUUUUGCUUGGGUUAUGUCUUUCAUAAAACCGAAAAAAUGUAAUUGGAUUUUUUUAAUUAUUUCUAAGUAAUAUCAUGAAACAGUGUGCCUUCAAAUGUCUCUUUUACAUGUAACUACAAUAUUAUUGUAAUUUCUCAUUUUGUGUUAAUGAAAUUUGUGUCACAAAAUAUGCAUAGUUACUCAAAUUUGACAUGAGAAAAUACAGGUCAAUUUUGAAUUAAGUCAUGGUCCGAUUAUUUUUGACAGAGUUAUGCCCCUUGCUGUAAUUUUCAGUUUCCGUUCAUUAUCACCAAAACAGUUGUACACAUUCAACUUAAAUUUAAAACAUGGAUACGUCAAAGGUAUGCGCAGAUCAAGUUUGAAUUUGGUCAUGGUUCGACGAGUUUUGGCAGAGUUAUGCCCAUUUCACUUUGAACAUGAUAUGAAAUGUUCAGUUUCCGUUCAUUCCACAGGUCAAGUGCAAAUUUAUUCAUCAUGAUAGAGUUAUGGCCCUUUCACUUUGAAAAUAAUAUGAAAUGUUCAGUUUCCUUAUAUUAUCUCCCCAAAAGUUGUACAUAUUCAACUCAAAUAUAAGAUAUGGAUAUGUCAAUGAAUGCGCAAGUUCGAAUUUAGUCAUAGUUAAAUGAUUUUUGGCUGAGUUAUGCCCCCUUUACUUUGAAAAUAAUAUGAAAUUUUCAGUUUCCGUUCAUUUUCUCCCCAACUGUAUUACGCAUUGAACUCAAAUUUCACACAUGGAUACCUCAAAAGUAUGCGCAUGUUAAGUUCGAAUUUUGCUAUGGUUUCAUGAUUGUUGGCACAGUAAUGGCCAUUUAACUUUGAAAAAAGAAGAUUUUUAGUUUCCGUUCAUUAUCUCCCCAACAGUUGUACAUAUUCAACUCAUACCAAAAUAUGGAUAUGUCAUACGUACACUUGUCAAGUUCGAAUUUGGUCAUAGUUUGGUGAUAGCUUACAGAGUUAUCCCUCUUAAAUUUUGAAAAAAAAAUCAAUCAGAAUUUUUUAGUUUCCGUUCAUUAUCUCCCGAAUGGUUGUACACAUUCAACUCAAAUUUGUAAUAUAGAUACAUCUUAGAGGUAGCAAUGCAAGUUUGAAUUUGGUCAUGGUUCAAUGAUUUGGGACAAAGAAAUCUCUCAUGAAGGUUGGAAAAAUUUUGAAUUUACUCAUACUUUUGUGAAAGUGUAUAUGUAGUCAUUAUUUUGGUAACACAUAUGCAAGAUACAAUUUACAAAAGGUUAACACUGAAUAGUUUCAGUGCAUGGAACUUUGUAUAAAAAUGGUUUGUGUUAUCAUUGAAUAGUUUUAAGGGCUUUGAACUUAAAAUGAAUAUAACUAGUUUGUGCAAACAAAUUUGGAACUAAAUAUUUAUUUAUAACAUCUGCUUUUGGCUGCAUGCGGGGUCAUCCGUAGAGUGGCGACACAUUUCUAGUUUACAAUUUGUUAAUACACUUCAAAUUUAAAGACAUAGAGUAAAGACAUAAGAAAAUACCCACGAUAUAUUAUUUUCUUACUGAAAAUUUUUAUUAACAUGUCUGGCGGCAUGUUUAAUAAAUAUUCUCCUUGCUGAGUAAAUGUGAACGUAUAUGUAUUCGAUUUUUAGCUACGACUGCAGAGAACCAAUAAAGAGAAUGAUUUUAAAACUGAGUGCACGUUUUUUGGGACCAUUUUCCUGUAUUUAGCUUAAAAUGUUAAAUAAAAUAUGUUAAAUUUGU